AGUGAACGCUGGCGGUAGGCCUAACACAUGCAAGUCGAACGGCAGCACAGUAAGAGCUUGCUCUUACGGGUGGCGAGUGGCGGACGGGUGAGGAAUACAUCGGAAUCUACUUUUUCGUGGGGGAUAACGUAGGGAAACUUACGCUAAUACCGCAUACGACCUACGGGUGAAAGCAGGGGAUCUUCGGACCUUGCGCGAUUGAAUGAGCCGAUGUCGGAUUAGCUAGUUGGCGGGGUAAAGGCCCACCAAGGCGACGAUCCGUAGCUGGUCUGAGAGGAUGACUGGCCAAACUGGAACUGAGACACGGUCCAGACUCCUACGGGAGGCAGCAGUGGGGAAUAUUGGACAAUGGGCGCAAGCCUGAUCCAGCCAUACCGCGUGGGUGAAGAAGGACUUCGGGUUGUAAAGCCCUUUUGUUGGGAAAGAAAAGCAGCAGGUUAAUACCCCGCUGUUCUGACGGUACCCAAAGAAUAAGCACCGGCUAACUUCGUG
rnacentral:rRNA from 1 species